rnacentral:rRNA from 1 species
UAGGGAAUCUUCGGCAAUGGACGAAAGUCUGACCGAGCAACGCCGCGUGAGUGAAGAAGGUUUUCGGAUCGUAAAACUCUGUUGUUAGAGAAGAACAAGGACGUUAGUAACUGAACGUCCCCUGACGGUAUCUAACCAGAAAGCCACGGCUAACUACGUGCCAGCAGCCGCGGUAAUACGUAGGUGGCAAGCGUUGUCCGGAUUUAUUGGGCGUAAAGCGAGCGCAGGCGGUUUCUUAAGUCUGAUGUGAAAGCCCCCGGCUCAACCGGGGAGGGUCAUUGGAAACUGGGAGACUUGAGUGCAGAAGAGGAGAGUGGAAUUCCAUGUGUAGCGGUGAAAUGCGUAGAUAUAGGGAGGAACACCAGUGGCGAAGGCGGCUCUCUGGUCUGUAACUGACGCUGAGGCUCGAAAGCGUGGGGAGCAAACAGG